CGAACGCUGGCGGCGUGCUUAACACAUGCAAGUCGAACGGAAAGGCCCAGCUUGCUGGGUGCUCGAGUGGCGAACGGGUGAGUAACACGUGGGUGAUCUGCCCCUAACUUCGGGAUAAGCUUGGGAAACUGGGUCUAAUACCGGAUAGGACAAUCGUUUAGUGUCGGUUGUGGAAAGUUUUUUCGGUUAGGGAUGAGCCCGCGGCCUAUCAGCUUGUUGGUGGGGUAAUGGCCUACCAAGGCGUCGACGGGUAGCCGGCCUGAGAGGGUGGACGGCCACAUUGGGACUGAGAUACGGCCCAGACUCCUACGGGAGGCAGCAGUGGGGAAUAUUGCACAAUGGGCGCAAGCCUGAUGCAGCGACGCCGCGUGGGGGAUGACGGCCUUCGGGUUGUAAACCUCUUUCGACAGGGACGAAGCUUUGGUGACGGUACCUGUAUAAGAAGCACCGGCUAACUACGUG
rnacentral:rRNA from 1 species